rnacentral:rRNA from 1 species
UACGAGGGGUGCGAGCGUUGCUCGGAAUUAUUGGGCGUAAAGGGUAGGUAGGUGGUUUCGUUUGUCUGGGGUGAAAGCCUUGAGCUUAACUCAAGAAGUGCCUCGGAAACGGCGAAACUCGAGUACUGGAGAGGGUCGUGGAAUUCCCGGUGUAGCGGUGAAAUGCGUAGAGAUCGGGAGGAACACCAGAGGCGAAGGCGGCGACCUGGACAGUUACUGACGCUGAGACGCGAAAGCGUGGGGAGCGAACCGG